rnacentral:lncRNA from 1 species
GGCUUAAGUGCUGAACAGCUCAGUGAAGAGUCAGUGUGACAGCCUUUUUGGGUCCCCACACCCAAUGCAUCUCGAAUUCUUGUCUGGCAUCCAGGAAGAAUCAGGUCAUACGAACGGAUCAAAGGAUGGUGUAUGCAGAAGAUUUUAUUGAGCAAUGGAAGUGGCUCUCAGCAGGAUGGGGAGCUAGAAAGUGGAUGGAGUAGGAAGAUAGUCUUCACCUUCCCCUUGCGGGAGGGGGAGCACACAGAUUAUGAGACAGACUUGGAGAAAUUAGGUAACUCCUCCAAGUUAGGCUCCAGGUUAAUAUCUGACUCUACAACCAACACUCUUCACAACUAUGAAUCCCAAGUCCAAAAAUAAACUUUUACCCCUUUUGGUUGAGAGAAGCCAAGAGUCACGGCUGGACUACAGUUUGAAACUGUUCUCAAGACCCACUUGAAACUGGAUUCAGUUAAAAACUGGAAGGAAGACCUUAGAGAUCCAUCAAGCCUUGAACACUUCUCUUUAUGGCUUAAGAAGCGAAAACAUGGAAUAUUAUGCAGCUAUAAAAAAGAAUGAGUUCAUGUCCUUUGCAUGUACAUGGAUGAAGCUGGAAACCAUUAUUCUCGGCAAACUAACACAGGAACAGAAAACCAAACCCAUGUUCUCACUAAUAAAUGGGACUUGAACAAUGAGAAUACAUGGACACAGGGAGGGGAACAUCACACACCAGGGCCUGUUGGGGGUGCGCG